rnacentral:rRNA from 1 species
GAUGAACGCUGGCGGCGUGCCUAAUACAUGCAAGUCGAGCGAACAGACGAGGAGCUUGCUCCUCUGACGUUAGCGGCGGACGGGUGAGUAACACGUGGAUAACCUACCUAUAAGACUGGGAUAACUUCGGGAAACCGGAGCUAAUACCGGAUAAUAUAUUGAACCGCAUGGUUCAAUAGUGAAAGACGGUUUUGCUGUCACUUAUAGAUGGAUCCGCGCCGCAUUAGCUAGUUGGUAAGGUAACGGCUUACCAAGGCAACGAUGCGUAGCCGACCUGAGAGGGUGAUCGGCCACACUGGAACUGCGACACGGUCCAGACUCCUACGGGAGGCAGCAGUAGGGAAUCUUCCGCAAUGGGCGAAAGCCUGCCGGAGCAACGCCGCGUGAGUGAUGAAGGUCUUCUGAUCGUAAAACUCUGUUAUUAGGGAAGAACAAAUGUGUAAGUAACUAUGCACGUCUUGACGGUACCUAAUCAGAAAGCCACGGCUAACUACGUG